rnacentral:rRNA from 1 species
CCUACGGGCGGCAGCAGUGGGGAAUAUUGCACAAUGAGCGCAAGCCUGAUGCAGCCAUGCCGCGUGGAUGAAGAAGGCCUUCGGGUUGUAAAGUACUUUCAGUCGUGAGGAAGGUGUUAAGGUUAAUAACCUUAGCAAUUGACGUUAGCGACAGAAGAAGCACCGGCUAACUCCGGGCCAGCAGCCGCGGUAGUACGGAGGGUGCGAGCGUUAAUCGGAAUUACUCGGCGUAAAGGGCAAGCAGGCGGUUAAUUAACUUGGAUGUGACAUGCCCGGGCUUAAACUGGGAAUGGCAAUCAAGACUGGUUAGCUAGAGUCUUGUAGAGGGGGGUAGAAGUCCAUGUGUAGAGGUGAAAUUCGUAGAGAUGGUAAUGCAUACCGGUGGCGAAGACUGCCCCCUGGACAAAGACUGACGCUCAUGUGCGAAAGCUUGGGAAGCAAACAGGAUUAGAUACGCUGGUAGGC